UGAGUAACACGUAUCCAACCUGCCGUCUACUCUUGGGCAGCCUUCUGAAAGGAAGAUUAAUACAAGAUGGCAUCAUGAGUUCACAUGUUCACAUGAUUAAAGGUAUUCCGGUAGACGAUGGGGAUGCGUUCCAUUAGAUAGUAGGCGGGGUAACGGCCCACCUAGUCUUCGAUGGAUAGGGGUUCUGAGAGGAAGGUCCCCCACAUUGGAACUGAGACACGGUCCAA
rnacentral:rRNA from 1 species